rnacentral:lncRNA from 1 species
CUGCCCACCUUGUCUGAGUGUAGGUUCCUCCCAGGCCUGUGGCGUCAUGGUCACACGGCAAGCAGCCCCAGCCCACAACCCCCGUGACAGACAACUGUGUACCUGAUACCCCAUAAAGAAGCUUCCUAUGGAGUCCCCAUGGCCAACACUGGGCCACACACCACCAACAGGGCCCUGGCUUAACCAGACCACUUCUCAGAUGAAAUCAACACCCAGAAAGACAGACCAGCUUGGCCAGCAGACAGCAGCAUCCUUACAGCCUCCUGUAAGUGCGGGACAAGCCCGUCCAGCAUCUCACCCCACCCCCAGAAACCUGUGUUCUGCCAAGCAGACUGUCCACCUAACAGCACCCGCCAAGCUCUGUAGCUGCCCGGAUUCAGACAAAUGGAAGCAGGGAUAAGAGGACAGGAGCUUGGGAUGGGACACACGUGGAACCCAGGCGAAUCACAAGCCUCACAAAAGCACUCCAGCUUUGGAGUCUAAAGAUACCUUCCUGAAAGUUAUUUUGUACAAUACUCAGCUCCUAAUAUCUCUCCUAAAAAGUCACUGGGCUUGCAAAAAGCAAGGUGGCCCUCCCAGCUUUCUGGGUGCAUCUGUGUUGUAUGUUCCGUGAGAGCACUGCAGAGAUGGGGGGGUGGAUAGGGAAGCAUGGUCGCAGUUCCCUGGCCCCCCUACAAGGUAAGUAUACAGUAGGUGAUCAGUAAACGCAGCCAAUGCCAACUGUCAGUGCCCGUGUCCCCAAGACCAUGAUCAGGCAGCAUGUGCCAGCUGUGGCCUUCUACCUCAAUGGGGGUCAGAGCCAGCAGUGACCACAGCCCUGAGGAAGGGAAACUGAAACCAGAGGAGGCAAUGGCCUGGAACAAGCCCUCAGUGAACCCCAGUCCCAUCUACAGUGCCCCUUUAUCCAUAAAUAUCCUCUACCUGCUGCAGGUUCCUCAGCCCCCUCCUCUCUGCAGUCUGACACUUGCUAGUCCCCUAGGUUGGUGGCUUUCAACCUUCUCAAUGCUGUGACCCUUUGACACAGUUUCUCAUGGUGUGGCCACCCCCCCACACCAUGAAAUUAUUUUCAUUGUUACUUCAUAGCUGUAAUUUUGCUACUGUUAGGAACUAUAAUGUAAAGUAUCCGAUAUGCUGACCUAUUUGAUGCCCCCACCAGGUGUCAAGACCCACGGGCUGAGAACCAUCAUGCCAGGUGCUAGCACCUCCGCAUCUACUUGCUAGCUCCCAGUAUAAGCCAGCCAAGUGUUCUGGAGGCUCAGCUGCCUCUGCUCAUCAAGUGCCCCCAUGGGUCAGGGCCACUGUCACCUGCCUAUGGCUCAGCUUUACCUACAGCUCUGCCUCUCCUGCCAGGUGAUAAGACCCACCUCAUACCUCGCCCCUCAGGUCAGUCCCUUCCCUCU